rnacentral:rRNA from 1 species
UACAGAGGUCUCAAGCGUUGUUCGGAUUUAUUGGGCGUAAAGGGUGCGUAGGCGGCGCGGUAAGUCGGGUGUGAAAUCUCGGAGCUUAACUCCGAAACUGCAUUCGAUACUGCCGUGCUUGAGGACUGGAGAGGAGACUGGAAUUUACGGUGUAGCGGUGAAAUGCGUAGAUAUCGUAAGGAAGACCAAUGGCGAAGGCGGGUCUCUGAACAGUUCCUGACGCUGAGGCACGAAGGCCAGGGGAGCAAACGGG